GCCGCACACAGCGCAGCGAGUUAGUAGAAGGCGCUGACAGUGCAGUGGACACAGUGAGCAUACGGAACGGCCGUACGGAGUAGUCCGUACGCAGCUCGGUUCUCACGACGGCCCCCCGUCAAGCGGCAAGACGUGGAGGUUCAAGAUGGACAUGAUUAAAAUUUCAAAAUUGACAAUAAGUGAUCAACGGCGAGGAUCUCGUCGAUGCGGAGGGCUCUGUUUCGCCGGAUCACGAUGGAUGAUAGGGCACAGUUGUUGCCUUCAUGCCUUCACAUGUGAAUAUCUGUUCCACUACAUCAUCAAUUGAGAAUGUACGAAUGCUGGAUCGGUUCAAUGAGAAGAAGCAUUCGGUGGGAUCUUUGUUCCUCACCACAACGCACCUCAUUUUCAAUGACCCUGAACGACGCCGCGAGACCUGGUUGCUUCACAUGCAUAUACAGUCGAUGGAAAAGCAGGCCCUUACGACGUCAGGUUGUCCGCUGGUGGUGCGAUCAAAAAACUUUUUGUCGGUAACCUUUCUUAUACCUGCUGAGCGUCAAUGCCAUGACAUCUACCAAUCACUGCUGCAGUUGUCACAAUCGGGGAGUCAGAUGAUGGAGUGAUGAUGAGAAAAAAAGAAUUGAAUUUGGCAUGACCACUGCCUUGUAAUCGAAACACCGCAGACCGAUAAAUCAAACAAACAUCUAUUAAUGUAAUUGACCAUUAACACAGUAAAUUAGACUAGGUGAAAUCCAUAUGUAUGCAUAAAGUGACGCGUUUAAUGAGACUUUGAACUAAUUCGUACCAACAAAGGCUUACGGGGUUAGUGUCACUGAAUAUAUGACUGUUGUGUAAUAUAGCAUAGAAAAGAAACAGCUCGAGAGUUUCCGAGCGCAUAUUUUCACUCCCCAGAUAGUGAAUAGGACUCAAAAAUACGCAGCAAGUUUCGAAACGUUACCUGAAUUUGUCAGUCAACUAAUAGUACGUAACCACUUGUCUUUUCAGUUUGUACCUCUAUCAAACAGGCUGUGCGGCAAUCAGAAUUAUUUUCUCUAGUCUAUCAGGUAUAAGUUGCGGCUUACUAAUAAUAGAGCGGCUGUUCUGCCUGACGUUAGUAGCAUAUAUAACAGGAACUACUUACAAUUGCUGAUGAUUGGAAUCAAGAUAGCGCUUACAACUCUAAAAGGUUGUAAACGUUCUCUUUAUGGCAGACGAUUAAACCAUCCACAAUAUAAGGCUAUGAAGUUCUGGAAGAAGAAGUGCAGGGUUGCUCAUUUUCUUGUUCCUAUGUUUCGAUAAAUGCUACUCCAGAUUAAUUGACUUUCUAGGAAGCUGAAAUUAAAAUAAAAAAGACAGUUUCUCUACAAGUAACGUUCACUUUCAUCUACGCACAAGAGUUAAUUUACUGGGAUUAUACUUGCUUUUUAGUUAACUAAAUAAAACUAGCUAUAGUAGGCUAUGGUAAACUUGAAGCUUUAGCUAACUUUUCUAUUUCAUUGAUGUUGAUUACGGCUUUUGGUAUGCAUUGACACUUCAUGUAUUUACCGUAAAAUUACAAUGCAGCUUUAUUUACACGGUGGAUUCCCUAUUGCUAGUAUUGUGUUCGGAAAUGAAACACUCAGACUUAGACACGACAAGUCAUGGCGUUACACGGAUGUAAUAUCAUAAUCUGUCAAUUUAUCUUUUUAAAAUAGGAUCUACAAUAGGCAAAACGAGUGAAUCUACUACAGUAAUAAAUUCCCGUCAUUAUUAAAAUGGAAUCAGAAAUUCUUGUUAGAACGAAUGUAUUUCCAAUUCCGGUCAGCAGGUGGGCAUAUGAUAUCUUACGACCAGGUAGUUAGUCGUUAAUUGCCAGCGGUUGAAUUUUGCCAUUGCGUAAAUUUUGGUAGCAGCGGUGGGAUUUUAGGAAAUACGGACGGCUUAAUUACUCGUUUUAUGAAAACUGUGCAGAAACUUGAUGGCCGGGUUUUUGACAGCAGCGGUACGCUAGAUGGUUGGAGAAGAGGGCACGAGCAGCCAUCGACUGAUAGUGGCUGCAAGAACAAAUUGAAUUUGUACCCAUGUGACUUCGCCUUAGUAUGGUAUGAUCUAGAAGUCGUAGCCAGACCAGACAAUUAGGAAAUUCUCAAAUUAAAUGAUCGUUCUCCCCUGAAAAAAGUCGACCCACCGAAAAAGUUUAUUGAACAGGUAUAGGUGAAAGAGGGCACGUUGAGAGCGUUUCAAGGCCAAAUGUGCUCUUAUGGGCGAACUGGAGUUAGAUUACAGUUACGGUUUCCUGGUCUAACAUGAAAAAUAUAGCGAGGUUGAUCCCUUUGGUAAACAUGAUCACGGCGGCUAGUCUGGUUUGAUCUAGUGCCCUGGUUUAGGCCGUCCGGUAUCAUACACCAAAGGACUGUGAAGAGAGGAGACUGAUGACUAGUGGUGUUACGUUUAUUUAACCUAGCUCCAUUUACAAUUGUACCAACAUUUUAUGUUAUCGGCGUGGAGACCGGGACUACUUACAGGCUAAUUGUCCACAUACACAAUCAUCAAACACAAGAUUAUGCUAGUUCAGCUCCUUUGCCGUUUCAUUUAUGGGAACGGGCACUCUUCAGAGUUCGCGAUUGGUAGGUGUGUGACAAGCACCAUGAGUGUCACAUCGGUUGGGCUAUUGGAACAUACUUAGGCAUGGCCCCGGGCUGAGGCUACCAAAAGGGUUGUCAGAUUCGUCCACGCCCAACAGGAACAUCUAGAUGUUGCCGAAAAGGUCAAGAGUCAGGAGGGAUUAGGUAGAGAUAGUUGCAACUGUCGACAACUUGACAUGCGAUGUCAUUUUCGAACGGUCGUUCUUAAGAAAUUUCGUUCUGGCUAGAAAUGAGGAUGAAUGUUAUCUCAGUAUGUGCUGAUUCGUUCGUACCCCACCAUGGCCAAGAAAGGCUAGCUGCUAUCGCCAGAAUCGUGAAAAAAAGUGAGUUUCCAAAGACCGCGGUUCAGAUGAGUGGGAUCUUGCAGGAAUCUCCUACACGGAGUACAUCCGUGACUCCUUAAAACGUGAUGACUAUUGAUCCAAGAAGAACGUG